rnacentral:rRNA from 1 species
UUCCAGACUCCUACGGGAGGCAGCAGUGGGGAAUAUUGGGCAAUGGGUGCAAGCCUGACCCAGCAACGCCGCGUGAAGGAAGAAGGCCCUCGGGUUGUAAACUUCUUUUAUCAGGGACGAAACAAAUGACGGUACCUGAUGAAUAAGCCACGGCUAACUACGUGCCAGCAGCCGCGGUAAUACGUAGGUGGCAAGCGUUAUCCGGAUUUACUGGGUGUAAAGGGCGUGUAGGCGGGUCUGCAAGUCAGAUGUGAAAUUCCAGGGCUCAACCCUGGAACUGCAUUUGAAACUGUAGAUCUUGAGUGAUGGAGAGGCAGGCGGAAUUCCGUGUGUAGCGGUGAAAUGCGUAGAUAUCACGAAGAACCCCGAUUGCGAAGGCAGCAUACCGGCUCCACACUGACGCUGAGGCACGAAAGCGUGGGGAUCGAACAGGAUUAGAUACCCGAGUAAUC